CCAACUUGUCGACAGUUAGUUAAAAUUUUUGCUUCUGUUCUUUCGAUUCCUUGGACAAUUUUCUCAAUCCACUUUGGCAAAUUUUCUUUGAGCUCCUUCAGACUUAAUUCUUUUAAUUCCUCCAUUGAUGCAAUUAUUUUCUCUGUUACAACCUCGGCUUCUCUAACAAGCUCUUGAGGCAUAGCAAAUCCAUUCCUAAUAUUAUGAAUCCUACCGAUAUCAUUAUAGAUAAGAUUCCUUAAUAGCUCAAGGUUCAGAGGAUAUAAUGAAUUUGUAAGGCUUGAAAGAUUUUGGAGGGAUUUCAGAAGUGGAUGAUGAUUCUGGUUUAUUGUUAAUGGGAGUGGGAGAGAUUAGACUUUCUGGUUCAAUAUCAAUCU
rnacentral:lncRNA from 1 species